rnacentral:tRNA from 1 species
UGGGGAGUGGUGUAGCUGGUAACACGCCUGACUCUGGAUCAGGAGAUCCCAGGUUCGAAUCCUGGCUCCCCAGCCG